rnacentral:rRNA from 1 species
AAAGGAGUUUGAAUCCUGGCUCAGAUUGAACGCUGGCGGCAUGCCUUACACAUGCAAGUCGAACGGCAGCACGGGUGCUUGCACCUGGUGGCGAGUGGCGAACGGGUGAGUAAUACAUCGGAACAUGUCCUGUAGUGGGGGAUAGCCCGGCGAAAGCCGGAUUAAUACCGCAUACGAUCCACGGAUGAAAGCGGGGGACCUUCGGGCCUCGCGCUAUAGGGUUGGCCGAUGGCUGAUUAGCUAGUUGGUGGGGUAAAGGCCUACCAAGGCGACGAUCAGUAGCUGGUCUGAGAGGACGACCAGCCACACUGGGACUGAGACACGGCCCAGACUCCUACGGGAGGCAGCAGUGGGGAAUUUUGGACAAUGGGCGAAAGCCUGAUCCAGCAAUGCCGCGUGUGUGAAGAAGGCCUUCGGGUUGUAAAGCACUUUUGUCCGGAAAGAAAUCCUUGGCUCUAAUACAGUCGGGGGAUGACGGUACCGGAAGAAUAAGCACCGGCUAACUACGUGCCAGCAGCCGCGGUAAUACGUAGGGKGYGRKSRKKMAUCRGWAUUACUGSCGCGURAWSMGYKCSCRRGCGGUWUSCYWMRAMSKAUGUSAAAUCCCCGGGCUCMACCUGGGAAMURCAUUGGWGACUGGCAGGCUAGAGURUGGSAGAGGGGGGUAGAAUUCCACGUGKAGCMGUGAAAUGCGUAGAGAUGUGGAGGAAUMCCGAUGGMKWAWGCAGCYYCCKGRGYCMAUMCUGASGCUCAUGCACGAAARYSWGGKRARUCAAACAGGAUUAGAUACCCUGGUAGUCCACGCCCUAAACGAUGUCAACUAGUUGUUGGGGAUUCAUUUCCUUAGUAACGUAGCUAACGCGUGAAGUUGACCGCCUGGGGAGUACGGUCGCAAGAUUAAAACUCAAAGGAAUUGACGGGGACCCGCACAAGCGGUGGAUGAUGUGGAUUAAUUCGAUGCAACGCGAAAAACCUUACCUACCCUUGACAUGGUCGGAAUCCUGCUGAGAGGUGGGAGUGCUCGAAAGAGAACCGGCGCACAGGUGCUGCAUGGCUGUCGUCAGCUCGUGUCGUGAGAUGUUGGGUUAAGUCCCGCACCGAGCGCAACCCUUGUCCUUAGUUGCUACGCAACAGCACUCUAAGGAGACUGCCGGUGACAAACCGGAGGAAGGUGGGGAUGACGUCAAGUCCUCAUGGCCCUUAUGGGUAGGGCUUCACACGUCAUACAAUGGUCGGAACAGAGGGUUGCCAACCCGCGAGGGGGAGCUAAUCCCAGAAAACCGAUCGUAGUCCGGAUUGCACUCUGCAACUCGAGUGCAUGAAGCUGGAAUCGCUAGUAAUCGCGGAUCAGCAUGCCGCGGGUGAAUACGUUCCCGGGGUCUUGUACACACCGCCCGUCACACCAUGGGAGUGGGUUUUACCAGAAGUGGCUAGUCUAACCGCAAGGAGGACGGUCACCACGGUAGGAUCAUGACUGGGGUGAAGUCGUAACAAGGUAGCCA